rnacentral:misc_RNA from 1 species
CCGAGAAGUUUUGGGUAAACCGAAACACUCUUCACCCUUGCUUAAAAGUCAAGUUGCUUCGGCGGGCCCAUGGUCGGCUUCCAGCGGGCUAGCUCCCGCCGAAGAUAUACUCUGCAUACAUUUUAUUACGUCUAAAAAAAGAAACA